AGUCGAACGAUGAACCUCUUCGGAGGGGAUAGUGGCGAACGGGUGAGUAACACGUGGGCAAUCUGCCCUGCACUCUGGGACAAGCCCUGGAAACGGGGUCUAAUACCGGAUACGACCAUCUCGGGCAUCCGAUGGUGGUGGAAAGCUCCGGCGGUGCAGGAUGAGCCCGCGGCCUAUCAGCUUGUUGGUGGGGUGAUGGCCUACCAAGGCGACGACGGGUAGCCGGCCUGAGAGGGCGACCGGCCACACUGGGACUGAGACACGGCCCAGACUCCUACGGGAGGCAGCAGUGGGGAAUAUUGCACAAUGGGCGGAAGCCUGAUGCAGCGACGCCGCGUGAGGGAUGACGGCCUUCGGGUUGUAAACCUCUUUCAGCAGGGAAGAAGCGCAAGUGACGGUACCUGCAGAAGAAGCACCGGCUAACUACGUGCCAGCAGCCGCGGUAAU
rnacentral:rRNA from 1 species